rnacentral:sRNA from 1 species
AGGUCGGUUCUGCGCUAUAGAAUUGUUUCAGAUGUUUACAAGCUUUGCAUUUCGAGGAUACAAACAACGUAUUCGAUUACUGCAUGUCAAUCAUGGAUGAAGAGGAAAAAAAAUCCUAAGUCAAAGAAGACUCUACAAAGCCUCCUCCGUUAUGUGCCGUGAUUUUCUCGAAAACACUCUCGUAAAAGCUACACGCUCGGACUCGGAAGUUGCUGUGAUCAUCAUCCUACUUUUGAAUCAGAUGUCAAAAUACUAAUAUUCCAGGCGCCUAUUAAUGAAUCUACUGGCUGAAAAGAUCCAUUCACAAGCAUUACCCGAAGGUGCACCUUUUCUUAUGCACAUGAGGAUGUCAAUGCAUGAUUCAGCAACGAGGCUGAAAACUGAGGAGGAAAUGAUGAUCCCAUUGAACUACUUCUUAAAGUUAACAUGAUUAUUAACGUAAUUUAAUUAUGACAUUCACACCUUGAUGCAAAAUAGUAUGUGUGAUUUGAGAAAAUUUACUCGUCCACUUCACUACAAGAUUACAAACAACGAUUCGAUAGUGAAAACUUUCUACAUAAGGAUAGGUGACUCUCCUACAUGUAACAAGAAAUCCGAAGGAGGUAAACAUGCAAGCAUGGUUUAAGCGUCGCAAAAUUCGAAGCUUGAGAGGAAUACCAAAACUUUUCCCGUUCAUCUUUAACGCAUUUUUUAAAGAAAGAAUUUUUAUCCACUUCACUGAUUGGAAAUGGUCAAUAAGUUAUCAUAUUGAUUAGUACAAAUCAUAUGUGAAAAAAAGCUAUAUAAGAACAGUAAGAAACAAUGCUGUAAAUAGAUGGAGACAUUUUUUUUCGCAUAUGCAUAGGGAAUAUGUCAAAUGUUUUCUAAAUAGUCAACUCUUUAUGAAAAAGAGACUAUACGUGGAGACACAAUACAAAACGUGAUCAUGGAUGAUGAGAAAGUUAUAUGUAAACCCUUUGUUUAAAGCAAGUAAUAAAAUGUUUCACUACUGUAAUCCAAUAUAUAUAUAUAAACACUUCAUGAUAUCUU